rnacentral:rRNA from 1 species
UACGAAGGGGGCUAGCGUUGCUCGGAAUUACUGGGCGUAAAGCGCGUGUAGGCGGUUCAUUAAGUCAGAUGUGAAAUCCCGGGGCCUAACUCCGGAAGUGCAUUUGAAACUGAUGAGCUGGAGUGAUGUAGAGGAUGGCGGAAUACCCAGUGUAGUGGUGAAAUACGUAGAGAUUGGGUAGAACACCGGUGGCGAAGGCGGCCAUCUGGGCAUUAACUGACGCUGAGACGCGGAAGCGUGGGGAGCAAACAGG